AGCUUUGCGCAGUGGCAGUAUCGUAGCCAAUGAGGUUUAUCCGAGGCGCGAUUAUUGCUAAUUGAAAAUACAGUCUCUAAGGUGUUCUGUGGGGAAAAGAAAACGGAUUGUGAGGAAUUAAAGGAGAAUAGGAAGGAAG
rnacentral:snRNA from 1 species